rnacentral:rRNA from 1 species
GACGGAGGGUGCAAGCGUUGUUCGGAUUGACUGGGCGUAAAGGGCGUGUAGGCGGUCGGCCAAGUCUGACGUGAAAGCCCGAGGCUCAGCCUCGGAAGUGCGUCGGAAACUAGUCGGCUGGAGCGCGAUAGAGGAGGGUGGAAUUCCUGGUGUAGCGGUGAAAUGCGUAGAUAUCAGGAGGAACACCGGCGGCGAAGGCGGGUCUCUGGGCCGAAACUGACGCUGAGGAGCGAAAGCGUGGGGAGCAAACAGG